AUUUCCGCCGCGGUGCAUCUUGGGUAAACUCACCAGCCGGAUAGACGAGUUGCGGAGGUAGCAGAACAACCAUAGAGAGAAGCCAGAGGCCUCUUGGGUAGAGCGGCGCCCCGAAAUCCUCGGGGUUUUGACAGAAGGAAAAAUAGGAAGAAAAAAAAAAGAACAUGAUGAUGUUAUCUAUGUGGCAAUAAAACAUCUGCAAGAAAACAACCAAGCUCAGAGAGCAACAAGGACCCCACAGAAAAGAACAUGUUGAUAGAAAGCAUCACUAUUCAGCAUCCUGUGGUCAAUGGUCAUCUGAUUGCCAUUUGUGACCCUCACCAUUGGAUUCCUAUUAGCAAAACCAAUGGGAACCCAUCAGGAAGUUGCAAGUGGUGAUUAUGAGAUGCUGCAACCAUAUGGGAUUCAUCUAACAAUAGCAACUGGGAGCACCAGACCUGAUCUUGUAAGUCAAUAUGGUCAUGUGACAUUGUGCCUUAUGACUGUUGCUUAGCAACAGAAUUCCCAGAUCCAAUUACCAUUGUUAAGUGAAAUUGUAGAUGCUCAUACAGGUCAACAGGACCAUUUUAAUGUAUUCAGCAGAAUUUUAGGAAUGAGAAAAGAAGAAAAACCACCAGUAAUGAAAGGAGGAGGAAAUGGAAAGGCAACCAAGGAAAUAGGUAGGAUACACAGGUAGGAUGAACAGAAGGAGCUGGUGUGGGGAAAGAUGUCUUGAACAGAAAAUAAAUUGACACAAGAAACCUAUUAACAAUAGGCUAAUAAAGGGUAAAAUAGAAUAAUGGAGAAGUAAAGAAGGGAUUAAUCAGGGAAAUAAACUUAACCUACUUUUAGAGUCAGUAGAGUUUGCAAUUCCCAGCGGAUAGAAGGGAUACCAAACAAAACAUUUUGCCACCUUCUUAGUAGAUCUUGACUCUUCAGAGGCAAUAGUUAAUAAUACAUACCUACAAUAACUAGGAAAAAAUAAAAAUUGAAAAGAUGAGAUUGCAGUAAUUGUGCUUAGCAGAGCAAACCAUCACCCACCUGGACUUCAGGAACAAAUGAUGAUUCCUUGGGAAAAAAUGUUCCUGAGGGGCCUGAGAAGCAUCAUUCAUUGAUUUAUUUCAUUUAAAUCUGGAGUGUCUAUCCAAGAUCAAGACAAUGUAGCCCCCAAUUUUAUCCCUGCAAAAUCUAGCAAUGGCUCUAAAAUCAUUCACUUAUGUGAUCAAGUGAGAACUUGAACUCAAGUAUCCAAAGCAAAUUACCUAUUAACUAUCCAUAAAAUUUAAUUACCUAUGAUGCCAUGUUAGCCAUGAUUUCAAAACAUAGCAAAAUAAUAUUAAGACUUUUGUAUAAAAGUCUGACAUAGUUGGCAGUCUACUCAACAUGAGUCUUUGAUCCUGUAAGCUACCAUAGCUCUUACUGUGAAAAUAACUUCAAGGAGUAUAUAACAAUACAUGCAAAAAUUGAUCUAAAUCUAGAGUGAUGAUUAAGCUAAAAGCGAUUUAAAAGUUUUUUUUAAAAAAAGGAGAACAAAAAACUUAAUCCAAAUUCUGGGAGGUCUUUCCACAUUUGAAUAUUUUUUCUAUGUCAUUGACUGCCACAGAAUACUUCUUAAAUUGGGGAUAUUUAUUUGUUUGUUUGUUUGUAUCCCACCUCUAUUAUUUUUACAAAUAACAGCAGAUGGCAAACAUAUCCAAUAUACCUUUCUCUGCCUGUUUUCCCCCACAACAGCAACAACUCUAUACAGUGGGUUUUGCUGACAGAGAGUGAUUGGCCCAAAGUCACCCAGUUGGCUUUCAUAACUAAGGUGGGACGAGAAGUCAUGGUUUCUGACUUUCUAACCUGGUGACUUAACUACCAAACCAAGCUAGCUCUUAUUGAAUCCAAUUUCUCCCAAGUCCUUAAUCUCUUCUGUUUUAUGUUAUUUUAUAUUAUAUUACACAUUGGCAAAAAAAAUCAGAACACCAAAUACAAGCUGGGUGGAUACAACCUCGUAGACGACUCUCACUCUGUCAAGGACCUUGGAGAACUCAUCUCAAACGAUCUAAGUGCCAGAGCUCACUGUAACAGCAUUGCCAAAAAGGCAUUAACAGUUGUUAACCUAAUCUUGCGAAGCUUCUUCUCUGGUAACAUUGUACUGCAAACUAGGGCAUACAAAACCUUUGCUAGAUGAAUUCUCGAAUACAGCUCAUCUGCCUGGAAUCCGCACUAUAUAUCGGACAUUAAUACAAUUGAGUGAGUCCAGAGGUAUUUCAUGAGAAGAGUACUCCACUCCUCUGAUCACAACAGAAUACCUUAUGCCACCAGGCUUGAAAUUUUGGGCUUGGACAACCUAGAACUAAGCCGCCUACGGUCUGACCUAAGCGUAGUACACAAAAUUAUCUGCUACAACAUCCUACUUGUCAAUGACUACUUCAGCUUCAAUCGCAAUAAUACACGAGCACACAAUAGAUACAAACUCAAGGUAAACCGCUCCAAACUCGAUUGCAGAAAAUACGACUUCAGCAACAGAGUGGUCAAUGCCUGGAAUGCACUACCUGACUCUGUUGUUACAUCCCCAAAUCCCCAUAAUUUUAACCUUAGACUUUCUACUGUAGACCUCACCCCAUUCCUAAGAGGUCUGUAAGGGGCGUGCAUAAGCGCACCAACGUGCCUACCAUCCCUGUCCUACUGUCCUCAUUUAUUCGUACCCAUUUCCUUUGUUCAUAUUCAUCUUUAUACUUAUACCUGUUAUCUCUUACAUGUUUGACAAACUAAAUAAAUAAAUAAAAUAAAUACAAUUAAAUCAGAACCACUGGUGCAACAUCUAGAUUCUUCUAAAAUCUUGUCUAUGAAAGAAUAAAAUCAAUAAAUAAGGAAAUGAAUGAUAACACAACUUGGGAUCCAAAAGAUAUAGCAUCCAUUGCAAAGAUAGAGUUAGCAAUGCUUAAAGAGCCAUAGUGGCUCACUGGUUAGAAUGCAGUAUUGCAAGUUAAUUCUGCUAAGUGCCGAUUGCCAGCCGUUCAGCACUUCAAUUCUUACCAGUUCGAUAUUGACUCAGUCUUCCAUCCUUCUGAGGUCGAUAAAAUGAGGACCCAGAUUGUUGGGGGCAAUAAGCUGAUUCUGUAAACUGCUUAGAGAGGGCUGUAAAGCACUGUGAAGCGGUAUAUACGUCUAAGUGCUAUUGCUAUUAAGAGAUGUAGUCAGUCAAAGAUGUUACAAACCUCUUGUGUUGGAAAUCCAUGUAACCUUGAAUUAAUUACAAUAAUUGGGACUGGAAUUUCCAUCACUAAGCCAAGCAGUUACAAAGUGUGUCAUCACAUAACCAUGCCAGUUAGUGACGGCCACUUAGGCACUUCCAGUUGCCACUGUUAAGUGAAUUCAAUGCCACUUUUAAGUGCAGCUGCCAUUUGUGACCUCCUGAUGACUUCCCCAUUAACUUUGCUUGUCAGAAGCCAGCAAAUGGCAAUCACAGGAUUAUGUGAUGCUAUGAUGUCAAAUUGUGAGCUGGUUCUUAAGUGCCUAGAUCAUGAUUAUGUGACCACAGGGACAUUUGUGAUGCCCAGAGCUCCUAGAAUCAGUUUUAAGUUCCACUCAGUCAGCACCAUCAUAACCUUGAACAAGUGGUUGUUAAGCAAGGGCUAACUGUAUAGCUGAUAUGCCAGGCAAGGAAAGUCCAGUUAAACAAGCACAUUCAUUAUUUAGUAGAUCAUCUUCCUUCUGAUUUGCUACCUCUUUUAUAUUUCAACAUCAUCAGACAUUUAAAAAGUACUAUAAUGGAUUUUGCAAGUGGUUCGGUAAUUUAUUCUUCUAUGGCUUCUAAUCAAAAUUUCAUCAUAUUAUAUUGUGCUGGUAAGAAUUGUGAGUGAUACCUAUAAUGAACAAAGCAUAUUACAAAGCACCUUUUCUUUUACAAUAAAUUAUUCAGACAUUUAUGUUAAUACUAUGGUCAUAUCUCUGUUUUUAAAAAAUGCUUGUGGUUUACUUGCUUGCUUGAGGAGACAUUUCCAUGCAUGCAGCAUUAAAAAAAAGCUGUCAGUCCUAGGGAAUGGCCCUUCAAUUAUUUAAUUGUUCUGUUUCCUUGCCAGAAGUUUUCCUAAAGAAAAUGAAUAAGAGAUAUGCUCAGAAACAGAAACCUGCCAUCUAAAUUGGAUCGGAUCCUGUAAGCAAGUAGGGCUUUUUCAGGUAAAAGAGUCAACUGAUUCUAAUUUUGUGGCCUUAUUUUACUUUAAUUUCCAAAAUUUCUGAUUCCAUAUAGAAUGGUCAAUGCCUAACUUUCAAAAUUAACUGUAUUGCCUCCUACUAAUUAUUUUUCAGCAACGAUUAUGUCAUUUCUAUAAUGAUAAAGAGCAACAGGUGUUCAUCAGAACAUUUUAACCUGAGAAGACUGAUAAUUACAACAAUAGAAUCCAAGUUACUGGAGAUAAGGGGAAAUCUGAAAAAAGAAAGCUAACAUAAUUAAACUUAAAGGCAUUUAAGUUAUGUGUAUAUAAAAUAAUAUAAUGCACUUUUAGUGUGUAUUUUUCACCAUAUUAGGUAACUUGAGUCAUUAGGACAUUGCUAAAUGAUUUCAACUUUGUAUAUUUCAUCCCUAUCCAUCCUUGUUCAUCUACAAGGUUUCCUCCUGUUAUAUCGUUAUUCCUUAAAAUUCAGUCCAAUCAGGGAAAAUUGGAUAUGAUGUGUAUUUUAGGGAAAUGUUAUAAGCAAGUUAGCAUUUCUAGAGAAAAAUAAUUCAAAUCUUAAGAAGGCUAUUUUUGUUGUAAUAGAUUUUCUCUUUUUUAAACAAAAUGUGCUCAAGGGUAUUUAUAAAAAAUUGUGUAAAGAUUAUUUUCUAUCAAUUCUGUAAACAGCAACCUAAAUUCAUUCACUGCAAAUAACUAGUUUUAGCAAGUCUGCAUUAAGCAACUAUACCCAAGUUCUAUUUAUUUUUAAUAUCUUUUAUUAUUGGAAACAUGUUUUGUAAAAUAGAAUAUAAAAGCAUCUUCUCUGAAUGGUGUGUAUUUUUCAAUACUUUUCAGGCAAUGUAAUCUUACUGUGCAAUUAAUGAGUGAAAACAAUAUUUUUGAGAACAUGCCAUAACAUAUUUCAUAAAUACAUUGAAAAAAUAUGUUCUAAAAAGUAUUAGACUAUUUUACAGAAUUAAUAACCUUAAAUAUUUCUCUCAUUCUGUUCUUGUUUUAAAUGCCCUACACCUGUACAUUAAAGGAGCAGAAUUAAAAUUAUUUUGAAGAUCCAA